rnacentral:tRNA from 1 species
GCUGUGGUAGCUCAGUGGUAGAGCACUCCCUUGGUAAGGGAGAGGUCGAGAGUUCAAUCCUCUUCCGCAGCACCA